rnacentral:rRNA from 1 species
UACGUAGGGUGCAAGCGUUGUCCGGAAUUAUUGGGCGUAAAGAGCUCGUAGGCGGUCUGUCGCGUCGGCUGUGAAAUCCCGAGGCUCAACCUCGGGUCUGCAGUCGAUACGGGCAAACUGGAGUACUGCAGGGGAGACUGGAAUUCCUGGUGUAGCGGUGAAAUGCGCAGAUAUCAGGAGGAACACCGGUGGCGAAGGCGGGGUCUCUGGGCAGUAACUGACGCUGAGGAGCGAAAGCGUGGGGGAGCGAACAGG